rnacentral:rRNA from 1 species
GAUGAACGCUGGCGGCGUGCUUAACACAUGCAAGUCGAACGGAGUCAUCAUUUUUGAAGCGAUUAGCUUGCUAAGAGUGGAAAUGUUGAUGACUUAGUGGCGGACGGGUGAGUAACGCGUGGGUAACCUGCCAUAUACAGGGGGAUAACACUUAGAAAUAGGUGCUAAUACCGCAUAAGCGCACAGUCCCGCAUGGGACAGUGUGAAAAACUCCGGUGGUAUAUGAUGGACCCGCGUCUGAUUAGCUUGUUGGUGGGGUAACGGCCCACCAAGGCGACGAUCAGUAGCCGGCCUGAGAGGGUGAACGGCCACAUUGGGACUGAGACACGGCCCAAACUCCUACGGGAGGCAGCAGUGGGGGAUAUUGGACAAUGGGGGGAACCCUGAUCCAGCGACGCCGCGUGAGUGAAGAAGUAUCUCGGUAUGUAAAGCUCUAUCAGCAGGGAAGAAAGAAAUGACGGUACCUGAGUAAGAAGCCCCGGCUAACUACGUGCCAGCAGCCGCGGUAAUACGUAGGGGGCAAGCGUUAUC